UACAUUUGUAGUUUUUAAGUUUAAUUAAACGAAAGUAAAAAAUAUGAGACCCGCCUAACUUCUUCUUUCAGAAAAGAAGUAUAGCGUUAGUCUCUUAGAAACCCUAGCAAUCUCUCCCCUUUCCUCACCCCAAAACACUGAUGUUGCGCGAGAUGCAGUCUCUGCAUCAAGUUUCACAAGAUUCUCAAUCAUUUAACUGUUAUCGUUGUUAAGCCACACCAGACAAUAUGGAAUUUCUCUUUGAACUUGCUUCAUAGCGCUCGAUUAGCAGAUAAGUGAUUCUCGCCGUGUCGUAGAGAAUCAGAAGGGACAUAACCAGGCUGGAGGAAAUCCAAAGGAGACACGAUUUUUAGAUUUUGGUUGUUCUGAUCAUAGUGUGUAAGCUUGUGAAGUUUGGUUGAGUAGCUGGUUCCAAAUUGAUCUUCCAUCUAAAAGAAAUUGGUGAUGGUCUGCAAAUGGCAAGAGACUUCUAUUUUGGAAGUAUUGUCGUUGAUUAUAGUGAAGUUACUCGGAAGGAUUUGGGUUGUUGAUUGCCUACCAGAUGGAAAUUGUGUCAUCUUUACGAGGUUGCUACAUCAGUCACUUCUGCACUAAAGAGGCUACCAAAGACAGAUACACAAUUGAAUUGGAGAGGAAGCUACAUAUAUAAGGAAGUGCAGAAAGAGUGAAAGAGGAAUUGAAGAAGUGAAAAGAUCUCUUGUUGUUCCAAACAGUUAUAUUUUGCUUCAAUGACAAAUAACUUUUUCAUGACUUUUUUUUUAUUGUAAAGACUACAAUUUUUUUUCAAUGGAAUUAAUUUUCGAGAACUUUCA